rnacentral:misc_RNA from 1 species
GAUGAAUAACGUAGCGAAAUGCGAUACGUAAUGUGAAUUGCAGAUUUCAGUGAAUCAUCGAAUCUUUGAACGCACAUUGCGCCCGCUAGUAUUCUGGCGGGCAUGCCUGUUCGAGCGUCAUUUCAACCAUCAAGCCCUGUGCUUGUGUUGGAGCCCUGCGGCUGCCGCAGGCUCCCAAACCCAGUGGCGGGCUCGUCGUCGUACCGAGUGCAGUAAACAUACCACGCUCAGGGCACGCGACGGGUGACCGGCCGUAAAACCCCCCCCCUUCUCAAGGUUGACCUCGGAUCAGGUAGGAAUACCCGCUGAACUUAAGCAUAUCAAUAAGCGAGGA